rnacentral:misc_RNA from 1 species
GCAAACUUGGUCAUUUAGAGGAAGUAAAAGUCGUAACAAGGUUUCCGUAGGUGAACCUGCGGAAGGAUCAUUAUUGAAUAUUCUCGAUGGGUUGUAGCUGGCUCCUCGGAGCAUGUGCACGCCUGUCUUGACUCUAUUCAUCCACCUGUGCACUUAUUGUAGUCUCAUUCGAGGGUAGUCGGUCGGCAAGACCGGAUGUGAGGGAUGCAGCGCGAAAGUGCGGCACCUCUCUGGCUCUGGGUGGACUAUGUCUUUAUUCAUAAACCACGUAGUAUGUUGCAGAAUGUAUUCAAUGGGCCUUUGUGCCUAUAAAAACCUUAUACAACUUUCAGCAACGGAUCUCUUGGCUCUCGCAUCGAUGAAGAACGCAGC